GCUGACCGUUCAGGACCGGAGGCCACCCAGGCUCCCUUAGCCUCUGUGCUCUGUGGGAGGGAACAAAGAAAAUUAUUAACACUAAGGAAUUUUGCUGUCUUUACUGGGGUUGCGAUUGCUCCCUCCCGGCAUGUUUAUUGCAAGGGGCAUUUGGGGAUCUGAGUGGGGACCCCUCAGAGCUUGAAUUCUUGGGCGUGAAAGAACCCCGUGGAAGCUUCCAGAGAGCUUCGCAGGGAGGAAUAAGCAUGAACUUUGCAGGCUGCUGGAGGAACAGGGGGCGGGCACUUGAGGAGCAGUGUUCUUAAGCCUUGGCCUGGUGUGCUGAGGCCCCUCUCCCGGAACCGUAUACAAUGUCUGGAAAUGACACAACAUUCCACAUUUUGGAGAUAAACACCAGCAUUUGAUUUAGGGCUGGACAUGCCUGCGCGCCCCCAGCACAUCCUGCGGUUAAAGAAGCCCAGGGAAGGAGGUGCUGCCCACGUGAGGAGGGAGCCCCAGAAACGCUGACCAGGAGGAGGACGUGAGACUGUCAGCACCGGCAGCCCUGCCAACGUUGAAGAUGUUUCCAGAAUUUUGGUUUGGGAAGAUGAAAGAGUUGUGGGGAUGGAUGGCUGCACUACAGUGUGAAUGUACUUGAUGCCACCGACCUGCAGGAUUGAAAAUGGUGAAAGGGGUAAAUGUGAUGAAACGUCUGUUCGGAACUGCAGAGGAACUCGGAGCCGGGGGCCUUGGCCCCUUCUCCUCCCUCUUCUGUGGAUUAGCAAGUAAGCAACCCCACCCUUCAGCCCAUCCAAAUGAAAACAAGCUGGCGACAGUGUCUCCACUCCGGGAAGGGUGGCUUCUGUAGAACCAGGCACCACACGCGUGUGUGUCCAGCCCGAGAUGAGGGACAGGGUCCGUCCUGACCCCCUGUGGGUCCUCAGGAGCCUACCCAGGCAGGUGGCCCGGAGGCCAUCCAAGCAGACUGCCUGAGACUCCAGAUCAAGUGUCCGUUCCUGCUAUAAACUAUUGAUGCCGGCAAUGUCACCACUGGAAGGCUGGCUGUCUGGGGUGUCAUAUGUUAGCUGUUAUGAAAUGCAAGGGCCGUUCUUCCUUGUGUCCUCGAGUCCUAUCUGCCUGCCUUGGGGGCACGUUCUCUCCAGUGCGCCUGGAUCCUUCCAGAAUUAGCUUUUUACCG